rnacentral:rRNA from 1 species
UACGUAGGGGGCAAGCGUUGUCCGGAUUUAUUGGGCGUAAAGAGCGUGUAGGCGGCCAGAUAGGUCAGCUGUGAAAACUCGAGGCUCAACCUCGAGACGUCGGUUGAAACCAUCUGGCUAGAGUCCGGAAGAGGAGGAGUGGAAUUCCCGGUGUAGCGGUGAAAUGCGCAGAUAUCGGGAGGAACACCGGUGGCGAAGGCGGUUCUCUGGGCCUUA